AUGGCCGCCGUAGACGCAACACCAUCCCCCUCUUGUGGGAUGGCGCGACCCUCCUUCAAGACCCCGAGCGGCCUCUCCCUGGCCCCUGAUUGCUGGACCGGCCCCCAACUGGUCUCUGAUGCGGAGAACGCGGCCCUUACGGCCCCCUUCUCCGAGGGCGAGGUCUGGGCUGCCAUUAGGGGCAUGAACCCUACCUCGGCGCCGGGUCCAGACGGCCUCCCGGUUAAAUUCUUCCAGACCUUCUGA
rnacentral:rRNA from 1 species